UUUCUUCUAUUUUUCUCUCUAUACGUUGGUGUUCUAACCAAUAAUCACCAAAGCGAUGUUCUGUCCGAUCGAUUCAGGAACCAUCUAACGAAUGCCAAAGUGUUAUACUUUGUGAAUUUCGUUAAACGGAAUCCAAAGUACUAUACUUUGUGAGUUCAUUAAAUGGAUACCAAAGUACUGUCUGAAUAAGACUAUACUUUGUGAAACUUGUUAAGGUUCGAAUCUCGUGACUACCGUUAGGUUUGAUAUGGUUUUACACAAAUACGUUUUCCAUUCUGUUAAACUAUAUGUUUAACUACCAAAAAUACUCCCAACUACACACUCACAAUCAAACAAACUAUUAAAUCAUCAGAAGAUCCAGAAUAAUAAAGUGCAUGCUUAAUUAUCGGAAGAAGUAGAAUCAAGAAGCUUGUUAACUCAAUCUUGCAUGCUUAUAAAGUAAUUACAGUAGAUUGGAGUAAGAAUUGGAUCCGACACUGAAGGACUUCAAGAAGUGGCUUAUUUUAUUAAUUAAAUUGAUUUAAGAAAUAUUGUUUUUGGGUUUAUCCCGUAUUAAAAGCUACCUUUGUAAAACAUGGAAUUUAUUCCAUCUAUUUAAAUAAAAUCCGGUGUUUCUAGACUCUGAUAUUUUUUCCUAACUCACGGUCCUAAUGAAAAUUCCGCUGCAAUGUUUUUAAAAGUAACCACCGGUACCACUGGGCUGCUCGCGGCGCCCGAUUCCGUCCAGGAUGGGGUCGGGGGUCGUGACACAAGAAGCAAAUCAACACAUUCAACAUGUAUUCUUAUAUUUUUAAGCUUAUGUUAAAGUAUCAUGAUCAAGUUCUUUAGUGUUCUUGUGAUUAACAAUAUUCAUAAUCUUUUAACCAACUAAAUAUGAAAUAACAAUGGAUUAUAAGGGUCUUACUACUAGAACAAGGCUAGGGAAGAACACAAGAUGUUGAAGAUGGCAAAUGGGUUGGUUAAUAGCAAAUGAAGAAGGUCCUUCAAGAUCCACAAGCUCCAAGCUCCCUUAAUAACCUUCUUACACCUUAGGAUAAGCUUGGAAUUGGAUGAAGAUUGGAUGAAAGUGGUGGUGGUGUGGGGACUAGGAUCGGCCGAGAAUGGAGGGUAAGGGAAGGAGGUUGAUGGUGUGUGCAAGAUGAAUGAGAAUGGUUAUACUUAUAACCAUGUUUAAGAUUAGUCCAAUGUGUAAUGUGUCUCUAGAGUACAUAGCAAGAUCUUUAGUAAAUCUUCUAAAUAUAUCUUCACAAUCUUUAGGGAUUUAGCAAGAUCAUACAAGAUCAAAGGAGAUCUAUGGUGGGGUCCCCAUGACCGUUCACUUUAGGGGGGGGGGGGUAAAGUGUAAGUUUAAAUUACUAAUUACAUAAAUAAGUAAGUUUUCAAGUGUAAAGUUUAGGGAUUUAAUGUGUUAUUAUGUUAUAAGGGGUGUCAUGGUGUUCGGGGAUUAUAACUAGCUCAUAAAUGAUAAAACAAUGCUUCUAGUAAUAUUUUGAUGUUUCGAGUAAUGUCCGGUUGUUCGGUUAGAUACCGGUUCGUUAAAGUGCUAAAUUCCACCGUUUAGUGUCCUUUAUGUAUCCUCUUGUGACACUUUCAAUUCCCGACACUUAGGAAAGCAUUCAGGACUAAUUAGUCAUAUUUUUAUAUGUUACAAACUUGUCAAAAUGCUGAGUUUUGCUGAAAUGUAUGAAAUUCAGCAUUUAAAGUGUGUUGCGGGUGCUU
rnacentral:lncRNA from 1 species